CCCUCGCCGGAUCUAUGUCGUC
rnacentral:siRNA from 1 species